AUCACUGGCUGGAGCCGGUCCUGAGCCAGCUAGCCCAAAGCUAUGGAUGAGAGCUGAAUGGUUUACUUCUUCCCAGCAAUCUCACGGCUGCUGGAUGGAGGGAGUUCCUGCCCUUUGGUUGGGAUGAGCCAGACAGACCCCGACAGCCUCCACUUGCAAUCACUGGGCAGGCGUGCCAGGGACCGGAGAACAAAUAUCCAUUGUGAUGGAAGUGGUGGAACUGAUGACAUCAGAUCAUUAUGACAUCACUGCUUAACACAAAUCCCCAAAGCUCAUCUGAUGAAGUGGGUCUUAUCUACGAAAGCUCAUAAGCCAAUAUAUUUUUGUUAGUCUCUACGGUGCCACAGGACUGCUUGUUAAAUGGCUCCCCCUCUGAGAUAUUUCACUCCAGGUGGGGUCAGGAAUAAACCAAUGGGAAUACAGCAAUGCUGUCUGAGAAAUAAUUAAUGCAGACAGCUCCAUGCAGCGACAGCACAGAGCUCUUGGGACCCGACAGAUGUUGCAGAUUGCACCGGGUCUGCAGUCCUCACACCGAAGCAACUUCCUGAGCUCUUUAGGCUUUGGCAAUUUUCAAUUUCAUCACGAGCCUCCAGAUUCAACCGCUUGUUCCUUCCUCUACCCGCCGCAGCACAAAAACGGGUUUGGCGGCACGUCAUCUGCUUUAAUGUGCAGGCCCAGGUUUAUGCAGAGAUGUGUGCAAAAAUGGCAUUGCCAACAUAAAAUACCUUUUGAAGCUGCAAAACUAAUGGAAUGCUCUCUGCCAACAAUUCCAUCUCCCGCGGGAUCUAAAACUGCUGGGCUGAGCUAAAAGAAACCGGGAGG